rnacentral:rRNA from 1 species
UACGGAGGGAGCUAGCGUUGUUCGGAAUUACUGGGCGUAAAGCGCGCGUAGGCGGCUUUGUAAGUUAGAGGUGAAAGCCUGGAGCUCAACUCCAGAAUUGCCUUUAAGACUGCAUCGCUUGAAUCCAGGAGAGGUGAGUGGAAUUCCGAGUGUAGAGGUGAAAUUCGUAGAUAUUCGGAAGAACACCAGUGGCGAAGGCGGCUCACUGGACUGGU